UUUAAACCCAUACGGCAGACUCAAAAACCCUAGCCAUCAAAGUUCUAAAACUUUAAGCUCGCCGCUUCGGUCCUUGCAAAUGAUGAUAAAACAGACAGGGACAUCAGCACCCGUUACAGGGGAUGAUGAUUUGUCGAUGGGAAUCUCUCUGAUGCUUGAUACUAAUGUUAAUUGUUACAGUGCGGACUAGCAUUACAGUUGCUACUGUUUUAUAUUUCUAUUCCUGUUAUUGUUCGUAUCUGAUGUGUAAUUAUGUUUCCUUAACCUACCAUUAGUGAUCAAUUAAUUGCUAGAACAACGUUUCUUAUAAGUCCGCGCUUUAAAAGUUUCCUUUUUGUUGUUGUUGUUAAAAAGAGUUUCCCGGCAAUAAAUUUGUGAUCUUUAGAUUUAGACAUCGUGUCAUAUCUAGUUAAGACAUUGCUAGUGCUGCAUUUGUUGCACACAGAAUGAUAGCUGAAUGAUUGUCAUCAUAAAUCACCUCAGCAGGGGAGGCCCUGGAAAUAUUUUGACUUUGCUAGUUUGCUUGUGUGUUGGCUUUGUUUAUUUUGAAAUUAUGUGUUUCUGGUUCAUACUAUCUUAAACAAGAAUGAUGAUGUUUAUAAUUGUCACCUAUUAAACUUGCAUACUAUACAUUUGUUCUUGUUUUGUUUGCUUGGAAAUGAUUUUUGAGGGGUUGUGUCAUUCGUUGUUUGCAUGCAUAUAUUACAGAAGCAUAAUUGCUUCUUCACUGUUUUGUUGAUCAUGCAAGUAUUAUUCUUCAUCAUGUCUAAAUGUGCCUAUGAUGUGUGCAUUAUGCACGUAUUAUCUUGAUAUAUAAAGAUGAUGAAUACCUAAUUGUCACUACCUCUGAGGCACAUCUUUUGUUUUUCAUUUUGAUCUUUUACUCUCUUGUGGUUAGCAUUCUCUGUGUUAUUGUUUCUUGCACCUAUUUGUCUUUUGGUUGAAGCCUGAUGAUUGUCAAUUAAGAACGGAGAUUUGAAUGAUGCUAUCUGUUGAAGCCUUCUCAUUUGUUGGGCUCCAGUGGCAUCGCAUGUGAUCAUCUUUCUUAUGAAUGAUGAAGGCUUUUUUGAAGUCUCAUACUUGUUGCACUACAAGAAAUAUCGCUUUCCUUUAUCUUGUAAUUUAGUAAUAGAUUUUAUCAGAUAUUUUCCAUAAGAACAGACUGCUAGACCAUAAUAGAUCAAUAUAAAACUUAAUGAUGGCAUCAUGUUAUGGUUGUUAUUCUUGAUGCAUUCUUUUAGUAGUAAGUAUGUUUUAGUAAAUUUCUGGAGUUUGAGGUGGGGAUAGACAGAGCAGGAGGUUCCAUGUAAGCUGACUGAUGGACAGGGGCGUAUCUAGUGUUGGAACUCAUUAAUUUAUAUGAGAUGUGAUAAAUUUGCAAAUCUGAACCAAUACAAUUCAAAAUCUUGGAUCCGCCUCUGCUGAUGGAACACUCAAUAAAUACAGUGACAAUUCAUAUCCUAUAGUUACUUUCAAAGACAUAUACUUUCUGCAGUUUUAUACAAUGGUGGAAUUUACAUAAUUUGUUAUAAGGCCAUCGUUGUCGAAGGUUCAGAUAGGCUAUGAUGUAAAUUUUACUGGGGUCCUUGAGGAAGGUUGAUGAGGGUAUAGUGCUCAAUAUGUUUCUUUAUAGUACUCCCUCCGUUUUAUAUUAAAUGAGUUACUUUCUUUUUUA